UUGCAUGGACUGAAUACUAUAAUAUUGAUUACUAUUACGUUUGGGAAAUUUAUUCGGUAUUGUCAUACAUGUUUUAACACAAAUCUAUUAUUAAGUGUGGAUGGAUGCAGACGAGACAAAGUCCAUUGGAUGAGAAAGCCAGAAGAGCCCUCCCAUGUGAACUGAGAUCAUCCUACUGCCAGCCCCGGUAAAAUCCAGUAAAUCCAGGGACUUGACUGAUAGCCACAACUCUCCACUGACAGAUCUAGUUCAGGGAAAUUCAACGGCCCUGAUAGAUCACCUCUCUGAAGAGUGGUUGAGUUUUUCAUGUGCCAUACAUCAUUUCGUGAGAGUGACAGGAUUGCCUCAAAGAGAUUGUGCCCUUCAAAAUCCAUUAAUCUAAGAUGACAGACGCCCUGUUGCUUCUGCUGUGCUGGAGCUAUGUUUUGGAAGCAUCAAUAAUCAGCCAGAGACCUGAAGUAGUGAUGGUGAAGGCCGAAGGUACAGUUACAUUGGAAUGUAAUGUGAAAGAGUUUAUAACAUACUGCCACCUAGUGACUUGGAUGAAAGUAGACCCCAGGACACAAACAGUAACAACGAGAACAAUGUUGAAAGACCCAAGGAGAAAUGAAGUUGGAGUAUGUUCUGUUAUCCUCACCAAUGCAAAAGUGAGCGACUCCGGCAUGUACUACUGUUCAGCAGUUCUAUCUGAGAUGAUCCACAUUGGCAAUGGUUCUAGAGUUGUUAUUUUGACAGAGAAAGAGACACCAGGGAACAUCACCGAAUCCACCACCAUCAAAAUCUUCUCAUCACCAGAAAGUGAUGGCUCCUCAGUCCCUCUCCUGUGUCUGGUGUCAGGAUUGGUCCCGUCUCAGGUCCGUGUGUUCUGGCUCAUAAAUGGGAGAGAGGAGAGUGGACGAAUUGAGUCGCCGUGUGAUUCAGCAAAAGAGUUCAUUAGGAACCAGAUUCUGGUCCAGGCAGAGGAGUGGGACAGAGGAGCAGAGUGCACAUGUGUGGUGGAGUUUGGUGGGCAGAAUAUCACCAAAACUGUGGAAAAGCUAGACUUUGGCAUCCUGUGUUACAUCACAGUGUGGAUGUACAGACUCCUGGGAAUAACUGCCUGGCUCCUGCUGUUGAUCCUGUCUGUCCUUGUGGCAUCAUGCAUUUGCAAACACAGAUGUUUUCAGAUGAACAAAUUACAAGAGAGGACCAAGACAUAAUUAAUCAAGAGAUAAUGCAUGAUAGGUAGGGUUUGUUUCUUGAUGGUUAGUAAUUUAAGUGGCAGUGGCCUGUGACAAUUAGACAUUGUGUGUUUUAUGUUUUUUAUGUGUUGCUUAACAUCAAUUAUAACAAUCUAUAUUUGAAGUUUUCUUAGUAGAACUGGCAUAUAUAUUACCUCACUGUACACGUAUUGUAAAAGCUUCCUCGUGCUCUUUGGGUCAGAUAUCCUUUUUUAUUUCAUUCUAACGAUUAAUUAAUUAGUAAUUGUAAUGCCACUGAAUUCCUUUGGGAAACAUAUUUUCAGACUUUGUGCAACAAUGUACUUUUUAAAGUUGCAACUCUAUAUUUUUAAUCUUUAUGUUCAUGUCAUGUUGUUAAUGCCUUGUGGCUUAUUUGCUUGAAAUCCUGAUGAUACGUGUGCUCUAUUAACUUCUCCAAAGAGAUACGUAGUUGCAAUAACGACCCUCAAAUAAAAGAGUCAAAUAUUUGCUGUAAGCACAUUGACUACCUGACAUGUCCAGCAACAAAGUAUUAAAUGCUUAUAUGCAUCUCACGUGAGUGUCUGUUUUCAUCCUACUAACAGGAAAAUUACAAGACUUACUUAUAGUUUUGUGAAUUAGAAGACAAGGUCAGGAAAAUAAAGUUCAAAGAGUAUGAAGUGCCAUCUGUUGCCUACUGUAUGUAAAUGUUUGCGUUGGUAACAUAUUGUCAGUGUAACCUUCUACUUCCUGCCUCAUUGACUAUGCAGAGCCAUUUUAUGUUUCUGAAAGAGAAGUUAAAAACAUCCAGGACAAUUUCAGUGGAAUACUACGACACUCAUAUGAAAAAGCAUGAGGAUAACUAUACAUGUACAAUUUGUUACUUUUAUUCUUGCGAUGGGACCUGCAAGCUGAAUUUUCCAAAAUGGGGUUUGUGUUCUCUUCAUUAUUGUCAGAAUAAUGGAUAGGAAGUGACACCUAUGAAGUUGGAAAGGUUUAGCAACAGUGUUGUCCGGCCCUCUUUAUCGUGUGGUUUGAAGAAGUGACACUGACUGUGAUGGGGUUCAAGGUAACGCUCAUAGGGUGACUUCUGAAGAAUACAUAAACUCAUGAGGUUAAAAAAGUCCCCAUGUAACUACAGUAGUGUGAAGUUUUGGGUCUUGGUGAAUAAUUUCAGUUAAU